rnacentral:SRP_RNA from 1 species
GCAGGUAUGGUGGCCCACACCUGUAAUCCCAGCUACCUAGGAAGCUGGGGCUGACAGAUCUCUUGGUCUGGGGAGUUUAGAGCUGACAUGGACUAUGCCAAUUAGGUCUCUGUGCUAAGUUUGGCAUUAAUAUGGUGAACCCUUAGAUGUGAAGGGCCACCAGGUUGUCUAAAAAAGGACAAACUUGCUCAGGUCAGAAAUGGAGUAGUCAAAACUCAAAUGUUGAUCAGUAAUAGGAUUGGGCCAUGAGUAGCACUUGCCUGUGCAGCCUGAGUCAAAUGAAGAGACUCCAUCAUU